rnacentral:rRNA from 1 species
AUACGUAGGGGGCGAGCGUUGUCCGGAAUUAUUGGGCGUAAAGGGCGUGCAGACGGUCAUAUAAGUUACAGGUGAAAGCCCAUUUUUCAAGGAUGGAACUGCCUGUAAGACUGUAAGACUUGAGUGCAGGAGAGGGAAGCGGAAUUCCAAGUGUAGCGGUGAAAUGCGUAGAUAUUUGGAGGAACACCAGUGGCGAAGGCGGCUUUCUGGACUGCAACUGACGUUGAGGCGCGAAAGCGUGGGGAGCGAACAGGAUUAGAUACCCUGGUAGUCCACGCCGUAAACGAUGAGUGCUAAGUGUUGGAGGGUUUCCGCCCUUCAGUGCUGCAGCUAACGCAUUAAGCACUCCGCCUGUGGAGUACGGCCGCAAGGCUGAAACUCAAAUGAAUCGACGGGG